rnacentral:rRNA from 1 species
UACGGAGGGUGCGAGCGUUAAUCGGAAUUACUGGGCGUAAAGCGCGCGCAGGCGGUUUGGUAAGUCAGGUGUGAAAGCCCCGGGCUUAACCUGGGAAUUGCAUUUGAUACUGUCAAGCUAGAGUGUAGGAGAGGGGUGCGGAAUUCCGGGUGUAGCAGUGAAAUGCGUAGAGAUCCGGAGGAACAUCGGUGGCGAAGGCGGCAUUCUGGACUAGUACUGACACUGAGGCGCGAAAGCGUGGGGAGCAAACAGG